GUGCUCACUUGGGCAGCACAUAUACUAAAACUGGAACUGUACAGAAAAGACUAGCAUGGCCCCUGUGCAAGGAUGAUGCACAAAUUCGUCAAGCCUUCCCUAUUUUU
ensembl:snRNA U6 U6 spliceosomal RNA